rnacentral:rRNA from 1 species
CAGUUAAAAAGUGCGUAGUUGGAUGUUUAAGGGUACCAGUCUUGAUCGGUCUUCUAGUAUCGUUUCUUGGCCUGGUUCCUCUUAUUUUGCGUCUGCGCUCGGUUGGAAUUCGUUUUCUGAUCGUGCAUUAGACGCGUGUUUACUUUGAGAAAAUUAGAGUGUUCAAAACAGCCUCUUGAUUGUAUAUCAUAGCAUGGAAUAAUAACUGAUGACUUCGGUCAAUUGUUUAUUGGUUUGGAUGGCUGAUGUAAUGACUGAUAGAGUUAGUCGGAGAUAUUAGUAUUUUAUCGCUAGAGGUGAAAUUCAUGGAUCGAUAAAAGACUAACAACUGCGAAAGCAUUUAUCUAGGAUUUGCUCUUUGAUCAAGAACGAAAGUUGGGGGAUCGAAGACGAUCAGAUACCGUCGUAGUCUCAACUUUAAACUAUACCAGCUAGGGGUUAGCAAAUGUUUUCUUUGACUUUGUUAGAACCUUAUGAGAAAUCAAAGCAUUUGGGUUCCGGGGGGAGUAUGGUCGCAAGGCUGAAACUUAAAGGAAUUGACGGAAGGGCACCACAAGUUAUGGAUCCUGUGGCUUAAUUUGACUCAACACGGGAAAACUCACCAGGUCCAGACAUAGUAAGGAUUGACAGAUUGAUAGCUCUUUCU